GGAGGAAAAUCUGAGGCUCUGAUUACACACCAUGUGAUUCAGAAAGAGACAGAGGAACGGGAUGUUUCUAAAUGACACCAAAGAAGAUGUAUUUGUACAUCAGACUGCCAUCAAGAAGAAUAACCCACGGAAAUAUCUGCGCAGUGUAGGAGAUGGAGAAACUGUAGAGUUUGAUGUGGUUGAAGGAGAGAAGGGUGCAGAAGCUGCCAAUGUGACUGGCCCGGAUGGAGUUCCUGUGGAAGGGAGUCGUUACGCUGCAGAUCGGCGCCGUUACAGACGUGGCUACUAUGGAAGGCGCCGUGGCCCUCCCCGGAAUUACGCUGGGGAGGAGGAGGAGGAAGGGAGCGGCAGCAGUGAAGGAUUUGACCCCCCUGCCACUGAUAGGCAGUUCUCUGGGGCCCGGAAUCAGCUGCGCCGCCCCCAGUAUCGCCCUCAGUACCGGCAGCGGCGGUUCCCGCCUUACCACGUGGGACAGACCUUUGACCGUCGCUCACGGGUCUUACCCCAUCCCAACAGAAUACAGGCUGGUGAGAUUGGAGAGAUGAAGGAUGGAGUCCCAGAGGGAGCACAACUUCAGGGACCGGUUCAUCGAAAUCCAACUUACCGCCCAAGGUACCGUAGGUAUGUCGCAUUUUCCUCUAAUGGCCAG
rnacentral:sRNA from 1 species